AACGAACGCUGGCGGCAGGCCUAACACAUGCAAGUCGAGCGCGCCUUCGGGUGAGCGGCGGACGGGUUAGUAACGCGUGGGAACGUGCCCUUCUCUACGGAAUAGCCUCUGGAAACGGAGAGUAAUACCGUAUACGCCCUUUGGGGGAAAGAUUUAUCGGAGAAGGAUCGGCCCGCGUUAGAUUAGGUAGUUGGUGGGGUAAUGGCCUACCAAGCCGACGAUCUAUAGCUGGUUUGAGAGGAUGAUCAGCAACACUGGGACUGAGACACGGCCCAGACUUCUACGGAAGGCAGCAGUAGGGAAUCUUGGACAAUGGGCGAAAGCCUGAUCCAGCCAUGCCGCGUGAGUGAUGAAGGCCCUAGGGUUGUAAAGCUCUUUCGCCAGGGAAGAUAAUGACGGUACCUGGUAAAGAAACCCCGGCUAACUCCGUGCCAGCAG
rnacentral:rRNA from 1 species